UUACAUAUUGACCUUUCAGGUAAACCUGCAAAAGCCUAUUUGAUCCAGUACCAGAGACAUUUUGUCUUUACAAGCCAAUAAUGUUCACCUUUGCUUUAUGAAGUUAAAUGUAGCCCAGAGCAAAAUAUUGAAGCAUUAUACCCAAUAAUGUAGGCCAGAGAAAAAUAUUAAAGCGUUAUACCCAAUAACAACAAUAGAGGGCAUGAGCGACAUUUGAAUGAAGUCAGAGACUCACAACUAUGACGUCAGCGCAUGCGCACUUCCUUUUGGAACGUUGGCUUUUCUAACUAAGGGGGAAAAGUUUUGUUCGCCCAGAAAGAAAUGAGAAAAAGAGAAAAAAAAGCAAAUUGACGAAUGCAUCAACUGUUGCUGUGUGGCGUCUGUUGCGUGAAGCGAAUUCAGACGGUCACGUGGUGAAAAUAUUGAGCAGAAACCACUCGGUAAGAUGUGGAAACGAUUCGCUAAUUCGCUAAUGCUAAAUUUGCAUUCAUGGCUAACUGCUAGCGCCUUAUUCAUGCAGGCCAAAAGCCUUGUGUGAGAAGAAGAGGACCAGGCGUCGUCAGUUAAGACUAUUCGGUGAGAUAAUUUUAUCAAAAUAUACUGCUGUUUGAAAUGGUAUAAACUAUAGUUCCAUUUGAAAGGAAAAGAAAUGUAAUUAUUAAUGUUGUUUAAUGGAAAUGUCAUUUAUUGCGUACAAAAUGCUUUGUAAAUGACUAGAAGUAUAUUCUUGAGUGUUUACACUCAGUAGUGUUUGAAAAAGUUGUACAACAAAAAUGAAACUGAAACAUUGAAACUGAAAAGAUUGUAACCCAAGACCUGUGUUAAAUACAGGUCAGGUUUUUUUUCUGAUUGGAAAAAAAAGAAAGAUCAUCAGAUUGGAUUCAACGAUGGCGAGCUAACCCAGAGUGAUUUGAAGAACCAAGAACAUCGAAAAUUCUGGAAUAACAGACGGACUGUCUGUGUGGUAGGAUUGUAUCAGUCAUCGGACUGAUACAUACAUUUUUUUCUUCGAAAAGAGUGCACUCCAACGAACAUUGAAAACUAUUGCAAUAGAAAAACUGAGACAUUGAAUUAGUUGCCACUACAACUAAUAUUGGACAAAUUUUGACUGACAAAACAAUUGACUGAGACUCAAGACUAUUUUUUUUUUCUAUCUUUCUUGUUGUGAAUUUUAUAGUGUGUUAUUUCUAAUUCAUUGUUGUUUAAUUGUUAAAAAAAUUGUUGUUAAUAUUGUUCAUUAAAAAAUAUACAAAAAAAAGCAUUCCGAUUGCCUAAACCUGAUGUUAGACGUGGUUAUCGUAGCCAAACCAAAUAAACCGAACCUAGAUUGCAGCUCCUAUCGGUGUACAUACAGGAGGGUAUAGAUAGGGGCUACAUAAAAAGUGGCGAGCUAGCCAGGAGAUACUUUGAUACGAUUACUGCACUGCAUCAGGUUUAUGUAAUUCUUGCACUCAGUUGAAUACUAAACAUUUUUUGGGUGUCCUUUAAAAAAAAAAAUGGACAUCAUUGAGAAAGAAAAUGUAAAGGUUCCAAAUUCUGUGAUUAUCACUGGUUUGUCUAAUACAGUGGUAGAUGAGGAGAUAAUGGAUUACUUGAAACAAUAUGGCGCUAUAGAGAGACAUAUUGUAAUUCCGCAGUUGCCGGAUCAUCUAAUAGUAGAGUUCAAAACUGGUGCAGCUGUUGAAUUUCUAAAGCUGCCAUUUGACAGAACCGCCGAAGCAAACACCACAGUAGUUCACCAUGUUGAUGCAUUAGCCAAUACAUAUUCUAAUGAGAAAGGCAAUGACAUUGCAGACAAAUUUUUGUCUGAUCUUAAAACCAUGGCGAAAAUAAGUGGUAAAUCAUUUGAGAAUAUUUUGAGAGAGGGCUUAACUAGAAUAACGGAAGUUAUUGGAGAGUCAAACGAAGAGCCUGCUGAUGUUGAAGGACAUGAACCUGAUACAUUCAGAACUAUUAGUUCAGAAGUAAAUGAGAACAUUGCUCCAGCCACAGUAACUUCAGAAUCCAACAGAAAACUUCCAUCUGAACAGAUUAUCCCACCAGAAGUGCAACGUUUAGUUGUCGAACACAUUGUCAAAACCCCAGAUACCUCUUCGCAGAGUAUUUCCACUGCAAGGUUGCGACCAUUUUCAGGUAGGAUGCCAUGUCCAAAUUUUGAAGUAGACUAUGACACUUGGCGAGAUAGUGUUGAGUUUUAUUUAGCAGAUUCCACAAUUUCAGAUAGACAGAUCGUAAGGAAAAUUGUUGACAGUUUAUCAUCUCCAGCUGCGAGUGUUGUCAAGUCGUUAGGUCCACACUCAAAUUCCAGAGCGUAUUUAGAACUUCUUGAUGCUGCAUUUGCUACAGUGGAGGAUAGCGAUGAAUUGUUCGCCAAAUUCCUUAGUCUGAACCAAAAUGCUGGUGAAGCAGCAUCCAACUAUCUUCAAAGACUUCAGAAUGUUUUGAACAAAUCUGUACAAAUGAAGGCAAUUUCAGUCAUUGAUGCAGAUAAGCAGCUUUUAAAACAGUUCUGUAGGGGAUGCUGGGAUAAUGACCUUAUAAGACAGCUUCAGCUAGAAAGUAAGGUUAAAGACCCACCCAGUUUCUCUGAACUCUUAUGGCUGCUGCGCACAGAGGAAGAUAAGCAAGCUACAAAAGCCACACGAAUGAAACAACAUUUGGGCUUCACAAAACCCAAAGCCCAAACCCAAGCUCACAAUAUCAGUUUUUGUGACAAGACUGAUAGCAUCUCAACUGCUGAAAUGAACAAACAACCUACAGAACUACAGAAAAUUCAGAAGCAACUUGUCAGUCUUCAGUCUCAAAUUGCAACAUUAAUGCAACUCAAAGAAAAUAAACCUACAAUGAACCAAGGAGAGAAAACCAAAAACAAAAAGCCUAGUGACAGGAAGGAAUCAUCUAGUGUGAAGCAAUCUCCAGCCAAACCUAGCUCUGUGUCCAAACGACCAAGACCAUGGUAUUGCUUUCACUGUGGUGAAGACGGACACAUUAAAACAUCUUGCAACAAUCCUCCCGACCCUGCACUUGUGAAUGCCAAGAGACAAGAGCUGAAAGCCAAACAAGAAGCUUGGGAGAAGAGCAACGCAGCAGAUAAUUUAAACGUAGCUGUUUCCAUUGAGGGGCAAAUGGGAACAGAAGUGAAAGAAAGUCCCAAAACUAACACUGUGCACAAAUCCAGAAUUUCACUAAAACAACACCAAACAGUCCAAACAAGAACAAUUCCAAAAGGGCUUGUUGGCACCAAAACUGCAGCUAACAUUAAAGUCAAUGGAAUUGAAUGUAAUUCACUACUCGAUACCGGUUCACAGGUCACCACGGUUUCAAAAUCGUUUUACAAUUUGCACAUGUCAGACCAAAUAAUGCACCCAAUUAGUGAUAUUCUUGAAGUGGAAGGAGCAACUGGUGAUUUGGUCUCCUAUGCUGGUUAUGUACAGUUAAAUGUACAAUUUCCUAAAGAGUUCAUUGAUUGUGAACCUCAAAUUCAAACUCUAGCCUUGGUUGUGCCAGAUGUUCGCUCCAACAGCGACACUCCAAUACUGAUUGGAACUAACACUUUAGAUCCACUUUAUGAACAGUACUGUGACUCCAUACCUUCAAUUAACCCUUAUUGUGGUUAUCAUCAAGUACUGAGGAUUUUACGAUUUAGACAGGAUCAACAAGAUGACCAGUUUGGGUUUGUAAAAUUGCGAAGCAGGAAACCAGAUGUUAUUCCAGCUGGUCAAAAAGUUGUAUUAGACGGGUUUGUUAAUGUCAGUGGUGUCAGCAAUGAAAAAUGGGCAUUGCUUGAACAACCCACCCUGUCAUCAUUACCGGGUGGAAUCUUUAUUGACAGUUGUCUCAUUACUCUACCGGCCUGUUUCCCACACAAAAUUCCAGUUGUGCUUAAUAAUGAGACCAACCGUGAUAUUUCUUUGCCCAUUAAUUGUGUUGUUGCCAAACUUAGUGUACCCCAGAAAAUUACUGACAUCCAGAACGUUCCGCUAAGUCAGAAAUGUGAAGGAAGUUCUGAAGAGUUUGCUAAACCGACAAAUCAACAGACAUAUGACACAUCAGGAAGUCUAAAAUUUGAUUUUGGAGAUUCCCCACUUCCAGAAGAGUGGAAGGCUAGAAUCAUUAAAAACUUGAAUACAUACUCUGAUGUUUUCUCUCAUGAUGAUCUCGAUUUUGGUCAUGCAACUAAAGUUAAACACAGAAUACAGCUAAAAGAGGAUACUCCUUUUAAACAGAGACCUCGUCCUAUACAUCCUCAGGAUUACAACGCUGUAAGACGUCACCUCCAAACGCUCCUAGAUGCUGGGGUUAUACGCGAAUCAGAAUCACCAUUCUCAUCUCCUAUUGUUGUUGUAAAAAAGAAGAAUGGUGAUAUUCGUUUGUGUGUCGAUUAUCGAAAAUUGAACAGCCAGACUAUCAAAGAUGCGUACGCUUUACCUAACCUUGAAGAAUCAUUCUCGGCACUCAAUGGGUCUCAAUGGUUCUCGGUUAUGGAUUUAAAAUCGGGCUACUAUCAGAUAGAGAUGGAGGAGAGCGACAAGGCGAAAACAGCAUUUGUAUGUCCGCUUGGUUUCUGGGAGUGGAAUAGAAUGCCACAGGGAAUAACUAAUGCGCCAAGCACCUUCCAGCGCUUAAUGGAGAAGUGCAUGGGUGACAUCAACUUGCGCGAAGUUUUGGUUUUCCUUGACGACAUAAUAGUUUUUUCAAAAACUUUAGAGGAACAUGAGAUUCGUUUAGCCAAAGUUCUUGAACGGUUACGAGAAAAUGGUUUGAAAUUGUCACCAGAGAAGUGCCGUUUUUUUCAAACGUCAGUUCGAUACCUCGGACAUAUUGUGUCUCGAAAUGGAGUGGAAACCGAUCCAACAAAGAUCGAAGCUUUAAAAACCUGGCCGAAACCUCAGACACUUAAGGAACUGAGAUCAUUUUUAGGCUUCGCUGGGUACUAUCGCCGGUAUGUGGAGGGAUAUUCAAAAAUCACAAAGCCCUUAACCAACCUUUUGCCAGGCUACCCACCUAGCCGUAAAAUGACCAAAGUAUAUAAAAAUGCCGAUCAGUACCACGACCCAAAAGGCCAAUUCGGAGAAAGAUGGACAGCUGAUUGUCAAAAUGCAUUUGAAGACAUAAUCGAGAAAUUAACGUCAUCUCCAGUUCUCGGUUUUGCUAAUCCCGAGAAACCUUACGUCCUUCAUACGGACGCCAGCACAACGGGACUUGGGGCGGCAUUGUAUCAGGAGCAGGAUGGGCAGAACAGAGUUAUUGCUUAUGCGAGUAGGGGUCUUUCAAAGAGCGAAGCCCGAUACCCAGCACACAAGCCGGAAUUUCUAGCUUUAAAAUGGGCUGUUACUGAGAAGUUUCACGAUUACCUGUAUGGAAAUACAUUCACGGUUGUAACAGACAACAAUCCACUCAGGUACAUUCUCACCACUGCAAAGCUAGAUGCAACCAGUUACCGUUGGUUGGCCAACCUGUCUACUUACUCCUUUGAUAUCAAAUACCGGGCGGGAAAACAAAACCAGGAUGCUGAUGGGUUAUCAAGAAGGCCACAUGGAGAAUUGAUCAAUGACCAAAUCUCUCAAGACGAAAUGAUGAGAAUUCGUGAUUUCACCUCACACCAUUUAGUUUCUGAAGACGUAGUCAAGGCAAGCUGUCAACAUCAUACUUUGGUACAAGAAGAAGAGCUAGGUCAGUCUCCUUGUUUUAUAGAGUCACUAGCACUCCAUCCGGAUGCUAUUCCAGCCGCCUUUGAAGAAGAUGGAGAGAUAUCUGAUGAACUUUUCACAUUCCCAAAGUAUAGUGAUGCUGAAUUAGCUAGACUACAGCAAGCAGAUCCUGUGAUUUCUACUGUCAUUAAGUCCCUUGAGUCAGGGGAUCCCGUACCUGACAGCUUAAAGUUAGAGCUGCCAGAGCUUUGUCUGAUGCUUAGAGAGUUACCUCGUCUAGAACUGAAAAAUGGACUUUUAUUCAAGAAACGGCAUUGUGGCAACACAAUAGUGUAUCAAUUUGUUCUUCCACGUGCAUUGAGAUCAUCCAUUUUCACUAGUCUGCAUGAUGAGAUGGGUCAUCUUGGAAUAGAUCGUACUCUUGAUUUGGUCAGAUCCCGGUUUUACUGGCCAAAAAUGGCGUCUGAGAUUGAGCUCAAAAUCAAAACCUGUGCACGAUGUGUUAAAAGAAAGAAACAACCAGACAAAGCUGCACCUUUGGUCUCCAUCACAACUAGCCGUCCAAUGGAGCUAGUCUGUAUGGACUUUUUGUCAUUAGAGCCAGACAGUCACAACACAAAAGAUGUUCUCGUUAUUACUGACCAUUUUACAAAGUAUGCAGUAGCUAUCCCAACGAGAGACCAGAAAGCAUCUACAGUAGCACGUUGCUUAUGGGAACAAUUUUUCAUCCACUACGGAUUUCCCGAACGUCUACUGAGUGAUCAAGGUCGUGAUUUUGAAUCUGUGCUCAUCAAAGAACUUUGUACCUUACUCGGUAUAAAGAAAAUAAGGACAAGUCCAUAUCAUCCACGAGGAAACCCAGUUGAGCGGUACAACCGUACGCUUCUCAGUAUGCUGGGAACUCUACAAGAGAAACAAAAGAUGAAGUGGCGUGAUUAUGUGAAACCUCUAACUCACGCAUACAACUGCACGAAAAAUGACGUAACAGGGUUCACACCCUAUGAACUCAUGUUUGGCCGGCAACCACGGUUACCGAUUGACAUAGCUUUUGGGUUGCCGGUCAAGGAGGGCUCCAUUCCAACACACGCUCAAUAUGUGAAAAAUUUGAAAUCUUACCUGAAAUCAAGCUACCAGAUUGCGACAGAAAAUGCAAAUAAAGUGGCUGACAAGAACAAGAAAACCUUUGAUGUGCGGAUAAGAGAAAGUACUCUAGAGAUAGGCGAUAGGGUACUAGUGCGUAAUGUCCGUCUCAGGGGUAAGAAUAAACUUGCUGAUCGUUGGGAGUCAACCAUUUAUGUUGUCCAAAAGAGAGCAAGUGAUUUGCCAGUGUAUACUGUGUGCCCUGAAGGUCAAGAUGGACCAACACGUACUUUGCACCGGGAUCUAUUGUUACCUUGUGGAUUUCUUCCCGAAAAUGAGGAAACACUUGCUAAGCCAAAGACUACCACCAAGAGUAGAACAAGAAAUGACACGCAAAUGGAUGAUGACCAUCAAUUUCAUUCUCUUGAUGAGGAUGAAGAUGAAAUUCAGUUCUGUUCCCCGGACAUUGAGACGGUGUUUCACCCUGUCGAACCCAUGGUAAAACUAACAAUACCAACAAAGGAUAGAUUAAAACCUGUACCAAACUUGGAAAAAGUACCCGAUGUGGAAAUGGAAAAAUCAAUUCCGGUGAAACAACCCAAUCUGUCAGAGUUGAUCAACACUCAAUUCCAAAAAUCGGUUGUGGAAGAAAAUGGACACUUAUCCCACGAUUUAGCAGGAGAAUGUCAAUCACAUUCUAAUGAUUCCGAGCCAAAUGAAGAAAAUGGAAUACAAACUGAAAAUCCACUAACCGAAAUGGAAGAGAAUGUGUUUAGGAUUGAAACAGAGGACCUAACUAAUGCAAAAGAAAAUGAAAUGGGAAGCAAAACUGAUCAAGUUCUUGUUGACAACUCCUUCCAAAGUUCAGCUGAAUUUGCAGAGGUUACACAAGAGAGUAACCCUUUACCUGCAGAAGAUACAGGUGAAAGUGAUCAAUAUUCCCAACAAUCAUUACGCAGAUCUGUACGCCAACGAAAACCACCUGAAAAACUUACUUAUUCUCAGUUAGGAAAACCAUUCCUUUCUUUGAUUCAAACUGUUUUCGAUGGUUUCAAUACAGCAUUAGGCGAAAUGUUUGAAGAGAGAUUGAGAACAGAAGCACAUGAAGGGACUCAUGUUAUAUAAGGGGGGGAGGAUGUAGCCCAGAGCAAAAUAUUGAAGCAUUAUACCCAAUAAUGUAGGCCAGAGAAAAAUAUUAAAGCGUUAUACCCAAUAACAACAAUAGAGGGCAUGAGCGACAUUUGAAUGAAGUCAGAGACUCACAACUAUGACGUCAGCGCAUGCGCACUUCCUUUUGGAACGUUGGCUUUUCUAACUAAGGGGGAAAAGUUUUGUUCGCCCAGAAAGAAAUGAGAAAAAGAGAAAAAAAAGCAAAUUGACGAAUGCAUCAACUGUUGCUGUGUGGCGUCUGUUGCGUGAAGCGAAUUCAGACGGUCACGUGGUGAAAAUAUUGAGCAGAAACCACUCGGCCAAAAGCCUUGUGUGAGAAGAAGAGGACCAGGCGUCGUCAGUUAAGACUAUUCGGUGAGAUAAUUUUAUCAAAAUAUACUGCUGUUUGAAAUGGUAUAAACUAUAGUUCCAUUUGAAAGGAAAAGAAAUGUAAUUAUUAAUGUUGUUUAAUGGAAAUGUCAUUUAUUGCGUACAAAAUGCUUUGUAAAUGACUAGAAGUAUAUUCUUGAGUGUUUACACUCAGUAGUGUUUGAAAAAGUUGUACAACAAAAAUGAAACUGAAACAUUGAAACUGAAAAGAUUGUAACCCAAGACCUGUGUUAAAUACAGGUCAGGUUUUUUUUCUGAUUGGAAAAAAAAGAAAGAUCAUCAGAUUGGAUUCAACGAUGGCGAGCUAACCCAGAGUGAUUUGAAGAACCAAGAACAUCGAAAAUUCUGGAAUAACAGACGGACUGUCUGUGUGGUAGGAUUGUAUCAGUCAUCGGACUGAUACAUACAUUUUUUUCUUCGAAAAGAGUGCACUCCAACGAACAUUGAAAACUAUUGCAAUAGAAAAACUGAGACAUUGAAUUAGUUGCCACUACAACUAAUAUUGGACAAAUUUUGACUGACAAAACAAUUGACUGAGACUCAAGACUAUUUUUUUUUUCUAUCUUUCUUGUUGUGAAUUUUAUAGUGUGUUAUUUCUAAUUCAUUGUUGUUUAAUUGUUAAAAAAAUUGUUGUUAAUAUUGUUCAUUAAAAAAUAUACAAAAAAAAGCAUUCCGAUUGCCUAAACCUGAUGUUAGACGUGGUUAUCGUAGCCAAACCAAAUAAACCGAACCUAGAUUGCAGCUCCUAUCGGUGUACAUACAGGAGGGUAUAGAUAGGGGCUACAUAAAGCUUUAGUAAUGUAUUGUAAGUUUAUUUGU